rnacentral:rRNA from 1 species
AGGACGAAACGCUGGCGGGCGUGCUUAACCCAUGCAAGUCGAACCGGUGAAGGUGGGAGGCUUGCUCCUGCUGGAUCAAUGGCGAACCGGGUGAGUAACACGUGAGUAACCUGCCCCUUGACUCUGGGAUAAAGCGUUGGAAACGACGUCUAAUACCGGAAUACGAGCUUCAGCCGCAUGGCUAGGAAGUUGGAAAGAAUUUUCGGUUCAAGGAUGGACCUUCGCGGCCCUAUCAGCUUGUUGGUGAGGUAAUGGCUCACCAAGGGCGACGACGGGUAGCCGGCCUGAGAGGGUGACCGGCCACACUGGGACUGAGACACGGCCCAGACUCCUACGGGAGGCAGCAGUGGGGAAUAUUGCACAAUGGGCGCAAGCCUGAUGCAGCAACGCCGCGUGAGGGACGACGGCCUUCGGGUUGUAAACCUCUUUUAGCAGGGAAGAAGCGAAAGUGACGGUACCUGGAUAAGAAGCCCCGGCUUAACUUCGUGCCAGCAGCCCGCGGUAAUACGGAGGGGUGCGAGCGUUAAUCGGAAUUACUGGGCGUAAAGGGUGCGUAGGUGGUUUGAUAAGUUAUCUGUGAAAUACCUGAGCUUAACUUAGGGAGGUUCAGAUAAAGACUGUUUGGACUCGAGUAUGGGAGAGGGUAGCUGGAAAUUUCCGGUUGUUAGCGGUGAAAUGCCGUAGAGAUUCGGAAGGAACACCCUGUGGCGAAAGGCGGCUUACCUGGGCCCAAUACUGACACUGGGGUCACGAAAGCGUUGGGGAGCAAACAGGAUUAGAUACCUCUGGUAGUCCUACGCUUUGUAAACGAUGUCAACUCAAGCUGUUGGUUAUAUGAAUAUAAUUAGUGGCGCAGCAAACGCGAUAAGUUGACCGCCUGGGGAGUACAGUCGC